UCACCACGGGAGUAGAUGAAGACCCUGUGCACAGCCACAGAUAUCGGGAGAAGUACCACCAGCAUUAUAUGACCAAAUCUACCCUGGGGUUUGGGCUGACGGGACCCCAGGAAGGGCCAGACACACUCAACCUGUAACAGUAAGAUUAAAACCUGGGACACGGCCGAUUUAAAAGAUGCCUUUUUCUGCUUGCCUUUGGACCCUAAAAGUCAAAAAUUUUUUGCUUUUGAAUGGGAAAACCCGGAUACAAGA